rnacentral:rRNA from 1 species
AACGCGAAGAACCUUACCUAGGUUUGACAUAUGUGAGAAGCCUCUAGAGAUAGAGGUCUCUUUGGACACUCAUAUACAGGUGGUGCAUGGCUGUCGUCAGCUCGUGUCGUGAGAUGUUGGGUUAAGUCCCGCAACGAGCGCAACCCUCGUCUUAUGUUGCCAGCACGUAAUGGUGGGGACUCAUAAGAGACUGCCGGGGUCAACUCGGAGGAAGGUGGGGAUGACGUCAAGUCAUCAUGCCCCUUAUGCCUAGGGCUUCACGCAUGCUACAAUGGCCGGUACAAAGGGCUGCGAUACCGCGAGGUGGAGCGAAUCCCAAAAAGCCGGUCUCAGUUCGGAUUGGGGUCUGCAACUCGACCCCAUGAAGUCGGAGUCGCUAGUAAUCGCAGAUCAGCAACGCUGCGGUGAAUACGUUCCCGGGCCUUGUACACACCGAUAGC